rnacentral:rRNA from 1 species
CAGGAUGAACGCUGGCGGCGUGCCUAACACAUGCAAGUCGAACGAAGCGUGCGGAUGGAAUUUCUUCGGAGAGGAAGCCCGCAUGACUGAGUGGCGGACGGGUGAGUAACGCGUGGGCAACCUGCCCUGCACAGGGGGACAACAGCCGGAAACGGCUGCUAAUACCGCAUAAGCGCACAGCUUCGCAUGGAGCGGUGUGAAAAGCUGCGGCGGUGCAGGAUGGGCCCGCGUCUGAUUAGCUGGUUGGCGGGGCAACGGCCCACCAAGGCGACGAUCAGUAGCCGGCCUGAGAGGGUGGACGGCCACAUUGGGACUGAGACACGGCCCAGACUCCUACGGGAGGCAGCAGUGGGGAAUAUUGCACAAUGGGGGAAACCCUGAUGCAGCGACGCCGCGUGAGCGAAGAAGUAUUUCGGUAUGUAAAGCUCUAUCAGCAGGGAAGAAAUUGACGGUACCUGAGUAAGAAGCUCCGGCUAAAUACGUGCCAGCAGCCGCGGUAAUACGUAUGGAGCAAGCGUUAUCCGGAUUUA